rnacentral:lncRNA from 1 species
GGGGAGCAAGUGGUAGGUUUCGAGGCGCCCGCUUCCCCUCUGAUUCCUGCAGUAACUGAGAGAGAGUGUGCCAGAAAUGGCUUUGCUGCCGAAUGCAUUAUCUUGCCAUUUUCGUGUCCCAAUACUGAACAAACGAUCGCCUGAUCGAUCGGCUGUUGUCCAGCUCUAAUGAUGUCCUAGAGCAGAAGUGUUUCUUCUGAUGUCUCAUUUUAACAAGAGGAUGAUGUCUGUGUAUGUCUCUGUGUUUUAGAGAGGCUGGCAAAUGCUGCUAAGAGGAUCUGAGGUUCACAUAAAGAGGAUGAAAAUUCUGAAUUACUUUCAUUGCAAAUAAACCUUAACAAUUGUGAGAGUUAGAGAGCAUACUUUUCACAUAAGACUUUGGUGAGAAAUUCUACACUGAAUAAGACUGGUUGGGACUCAAAGAAGCUACAAGGAUGCACUUUUCCAGCACAAACAUGUUCUAGGUUGGAUGAUCAAAUGCAUAUGCCUAGCAAUUGAAAUCUCCAACUAGGAACAAAAAACUAAUCACAAAAAGCAAAGGAUUCACUUUGGUGUUCACAGUAGGAGCAACAGCAGCAUCUUGUUUGCAGUUCUGGUAGCAGCAGCAGCUGCAAUGGCUUCAGCCAUAUCAAAUAUCCUGUGGCACAGAGGGCUUCGAGGUUAAG